GCAUAGUGUAAUUUGUAAACCUGCAAUUACGGUUCUGGUUUGUUAUUUGGCAUAUUUGACUUAGUUGUGCUGGAAUUUGGACUGAGUGACCUUCUGCAAUAUUGUAGCCCUAUCUCUUAGCUUCGAAACGGUGUAUCUUUCACCUUCAUCCGACAAUCGUAGCGCCUUUGGUACCAUUACCGUAAAAUGACGUCAAAACUGUUUUUCUGGUUUUGAGCUUAACUUUCAUUUCCAAACUUUUCCCUAGCUUGACUUGUACUAGUACUACUUGGAGCUUGCUGAAUG
rnacentral:lncRNA from 1 species